AUGUUUUAACUAGCAAGUAUGUGCAUAUGUGUACUUCACAAACGAGUCAAAGAGAUAAGAAUAAUAUGAUGAUAAUGCUUCAUAACUACAAUGCUAAGAACGCACAGUUUCGUAUACUUCCACAAUACAAAGUAAAAUCUGAAGGAGAAGUGGUUCAGAUAUAUGACCAGAUAGUAUAUGAGAGCAUAAAAUCUCCUGGUCACUUUUUUCAUGCUAGUCAGCCUUUUAAUGUAGACCAUUUAAC